rnacentral:rRNA from 1 species
ACUGGAGUUUGAUCCUGGCUCAGGACGAACGCUUGCGGCGUGCCUAAGAAAUGCAAGUCGAACGGGGGCUUCGGCCCCAGUGGCGAACGGUCGCGUAACACGUAAGCAACCUGCCCUGAAGUGGGGGACAACAUCCCGAAAGGGGUGCUAAUACCGCAUGUGGUCACGAGUCGGCAUCGACUUGUGUCUAAAGAUUUAUCGCUUCAGGAUGGGCUUGCGGCCUAUCAGGUAGUUGGUGGGGUAAUGGCCUACCAAGCCGACGACGGGUAGCUGGUCUGAGAGGACGAUCAGCCGGAUUGGGACUGAGAUACGGCCCAGACUCCUACGGGGGGCAGCAAUUAGGAAUCUUGCGCAAUGGGGAAACCCUGACGCAGCGACGUCGCGUGAAGGAUGAAGGCCCCUCGGGUCGUAAACUUCUUUUGAGUGGAAGAAAUUUGACGGUACCACUCGAAUAAGCCCCGGCUAAACUACGUGCUAGCAGCCGCGGUAAUCUGAUGGCG